AGAGUUGAUCCUGGCUUAGGACGAACGCUGGCGGCGUGCUUAACACAUGCAAGUCGAGCGGUAAGGCCUUCGGGGUACACGAGCGGCGAACGGGUGAGUAACACGUGGGUGAUCUGCCCUGCACUCUGGGAUAAGCUUGGGAAACUGGGUCUAAUACCGGAUAUGACCGCAUGCCGCAUGGUGUGUGGUGGAAAGAUUUAUCGGUGCAGGAUGGGCCCGCGGCCUAUCAGCUUGUUGGUGGGGUAAUGGCCUACCAAGGCGACGACGGGUAGCCGACCUGAGAGGGUGACCGGCCACACUGGGACUGAGACACGGCCCAGACUCCUACGGGAGGCAGCAGUGGGGAAUAUUGCACAAUGGGCGGAAGCCUGAUGCAAGCGACACCGCGUGAGGGAUGAAGGCCUUCGGGUUGUAAACCUCUUUCAGCAGGGACGAAGCGUGAGUGACGGUACCUGCAGAAGAAGCACCGGCUAACUACGUGCCAGCCGCAGC
rnacentral:rRNA from 1 species